rnacentral:rRNA from 1 species
UGCCAGCCGCCGCGGUAAUACGUAUGGUGCAAACGUUGUUCGGAAUCACUGGGCAUAAAGAGCACGUAGGCGGUCUGGUAAGUCUGACUGUGAAAUCCCUCGGCACAACCGAGGAACUGCAUCGGAUACUGCCGGACUCGAGUACAGUAGGGGAGAGUGGAAUUCCUGGUGGAGCGGUGAAAUGCGUAGAUAUCAGGAGGAACGCCGGUGGCGAAAGCGACUCUCUGGACUGUAACUGACGCUGAGGUGCGAAAGCCAGGGGAGCAAACGGGAUUAGAUA